rnacentral:tRNA from 1 species
AUUUAAAUAGCUUAUAAUUUAGAGCAUAAUAUUGAAGAUAUUAAGGAGAUAUAAUUAUCUUUAAAUA